rnacentral:rRNA from 1 species
GUUAGGAAUAUUGGACAAUGGGCGCAAGCCUGAUCCAGCCAUGCCGCGUGAGUGAUGAAGGCCUUCGGGUUGUAAAGCUCUUUAGUCCACGAAUAUAAUGACUGUAGUGGAAGAAUAAGCCCCGGCUAACUUCGUGCCAGCAGCCGCGGUAAUACGAAGGGGGCGAGCGUUAUUCGGAAUUACUGGGCGUAAGGCGUGCGUAGGCUGUUUUGUAAGUCAGAAGUGAAAGCCCAGGGCUUAACGCUGGAAUUGCUUUUGAAAAUUCAAGACUCGAAUUCGGGAGAGGAUAGCGGAAUUGUCAGUGUAGCAGUGAAAUGCGUAGAUAUUGACAGGAACACCAGUGGCGCAAGCGGCUAUCUGGACCGAUAUUGACGCUGAGGCACGAAAGCGUGGGGAGCAAACAGGAUUAGAAACCCUAGUAGUCC